CGAUUGGUGGCUGGGAGUAGCGUCAUUGAUGCACCCUGCACGGGGAGCCGAGUGGCCUAGCCAAACAUCAUGCAUACUAGUACGGGGUAUGGGAUGGUGAUUCUGCAUCGGUCGAUCCUUGGGUCUUGAGGCACCUUUCUGUGGGUGAUUGAAGCAUCCGUGCAUCCGUUGCCGCCGCAUCAAAGCCUGUCAAGGCUAUGGUCCGGGGCUGAGAUUGGCCCGCCAUCUCGACUAGGGUGCGCAGAAGAAUGCAAAGGGCUUGAGACCGGGCCAAUCCCCGCUGCGAAAUGAGGGGCAGAAGAGGAACAAGAUGCACGCAUGUCCUGGGCGGUAAGCCAUCGAUCAGAGGGAUUGGUGAGGGG
rnacentral:sRNA from 2 species